UCGAGCUUCCUGACAAGUGAGGGCCCCUUCCCGAAAACAACGCACGGACCGGGGGCGCAACACGGGCGCUGAUUGGCCAAAUGCACCCGUCAGUCACGAUGACGACAUCGAAGGAUAAUGGUGAAAUCAUCUUGGUUUUUUAUCAGGAAUCGGUGAGUCAACCUCUGAUGGCAUCACAAAACAACGUGUGUUUUUCCCUGCUGACUGCACACAACAGAGCUCUAGAUACAAGGUCAGGGAAUGGCACACAGCGACGUGGAUGUGACUGUUUCUGUAAAUCAAAAAACGGGGGUUGUUGAUUUUAAGGGAGGGACUUCCCAAGCCACAUCCCAGAGAUCAUGUAUUGCGUUGCUUUGAAUACAAGAGAAAUUCCCCAUUACCCUGUCCCUCGAUGGUUACUACAGUUUUGGAUUACGCAAAAACACCAGCUGAGUGUGAUGUUAUAAAGAUGAGUGUGUCUGAAAGCUUGUUUUCAUUUACAAAAUGUCUCUUUAAAUUGUGUAAAGCCCCA